UAAACUGAUGCCUGCUAGUUUAGGCAAAUAGCUGUUAACUAUUUUUUUGCGGGAUCGAGGCUCGCCAGUUUUAUA
rnacentral:tRNA from 1 species